GACGGACCACACAAACGUUAUUCGGAAUUACUGGGCUUAAAGGGUGCGUAGGCUGUGCAGAAAGUUGGGUGUGAAAUCCCUCAGCUUAACUGAGGAAGUGCGCCCAAAACUACUGUGCUCGAGGGAGAUAGAGGUGAGCGGAACUUAGGGUGGAGCGGUGAAAUGCGUUGAUAUCCUAAGGAACACCGGCGGCGAAGGCGGCUCACUGGGUCUCUUCUGACGCUGAUGCACGAAAGCUAGGGUAGCGAACGGG
rnacentral:rRNA from 1 species